AGCAAUACCUCACUGAUAUGGGUAUGGAUCCGAAGGAUAAUAUAGGCACUCCAUACCCUACUCCAACUCAAUACGUCCCCGUCGUACAGAAUGGUAACAUAUCUCUCCAAAUAUCUNNNN
rnacentral:ribozyme from 1 species